CCUACGGGUGGCAGCAGUGGGGAAUAUUGCACAAUGGGGGAAACCCUGAUGCAGCGACGCCGCGUGAGUGAAGAAGUAUUUCGGUAUGUAAAGCCCUAUUAGCAGGGAAGAAAAUGACGGUACCUGAUUAAGAAGCCCCGGCUAACUCCGUGCCAGCAGCCGCGGUAAUACGGAGGGGGCAAGCGUUAUCCGGAUUUACUGGGCGUAAAGGGUGCGUAGACGGGCGCACAAGUCUGGAGUGAAAUGCUGGGGCUUAACUCCGGAACUGCAUUGGAAACUGUGCAGCUAGAGUGCAGGAGAGGUAAGUGGAAGUCCUAGUGUAGGGGUGAAAUGCGUAGAUAUUAAGAGGAACACCAAUGGCGAAGGCGGCUUACUGGAAUGUAACUGACGUUGAGGCACGAAAGCGUGGGGAGCAAACAGGAUUAGAUACCCGGGUAGUC
rnacentral:rRNA from 1 species